rnacentral:lncRNA from 1 species
GCUUGUCUCCUCUCGGGAAAGGAUAUCUUGUAUAGAGAUGUGCGAUAUUCCAGUUGCUUCUUAAUGCGCUCUUUAAAAUGCUUCGAUCUUGUCUGUCAGGUAUCUGUGACAGAAAAAUAAAGGUUACAUUCCCAAAACACAGGAGGUAACCAGAUGAGGAGAGCAAUAUCUCUUUUCAAAUGCUGGUAUUGAAGAGGUGGAUAGAGUGAGACUGUGACGUAUCAGGAUGAAAAAAUGUAGUUAAGAAGAAAGGAAAUAGGCUGAUCUUAAGUUCCACGUAGCUGAGGGAAUGUCUACAUCUUUGGUCUCUUGUGUUUCUCACUUGAGGCAAACGAAGCACCACUGCUACAUGUGAAACUGAAACAAACGAGGCAGUAGGUGAAAGACACAGAAAUCAGCCGUCGGGCUUCGGAUCCUCUGCGAGUAUUAGAGGAUGGAAUGAAAAAUGCAGAAUUACUAUACUUCUACGCGUAUCAGUGAUAGAUCCAAAUCUGCAAGAGUUGCCAGCAGCGUGAGGGAUGUACACGUCUUGAAGACAAGUAGAUGUUUUCAAACAUGGUUCUGCGAUUUGUCGUAUGUCAAGCUGGAAUUCAGAGUGGUUUAA